CAUCAACUCUAAACCCUAAACCCUAAAUCUUCAACUCUAAACCCUAAACUCUAAACCCUAAACCCUAAAACCCUAGAGUUGAUGUUUUAGGGUUUAGAUUUGAAGGUUUAGGGUUUUAGGGUUUAGGGUUUAUGUUUAGGUUUUAGAGUUGAUGUUUUAGGGUUUAGAUUUGCAGGUUUAGGGUUUUAGGGUUUUUGGGUUUAGGAUUCAGAUUUUAGAAAUAUAAGGUUUAGGGUUUAGGGUUUACGUUUAGGGUUUAGAGUUGAAGUUUUAGGGUUUAGAUUUGAAGGUUUAGAAUUUAGGGUUUCGAGUUGAUGUUUCGGGGUUUAGGGUUUAGAGUUGAUGUUUCAUGUUUUAGGGUUUAGAGUUGAUGAUUUGGGGUUUAAAGUUGAUGUUUUAAGUUUAGAUUUAGGGUUUAGAGUUUACGUUUAAGGUUUAGAGUUGAUGUUUUAGGGUUUAGAUUUGAAGGUUUAGGGUUUAUGGUUUAGAGUUGAUGUUUCGGGGUUUAGGGUUUAGAGUUGAUGUUUCAUGGUUUAGGGUUUAGAGUUGAAGGUUUAGGGUUUAGAGUUGAUGUUUUAAGUUUAAAUUAGUUAACCAUAUGUUUUUUUUUGUCAAAGUUAAUCAAAAGGUUAUAAAUGUCUUUUAUCCUUCAUUAAUGAUGAGGGUAAAAGUGGUUAGUGUAAACAUGAAAAGUGGUACUUUGAAAAUAAUAUUUUUGGCAAUUU
rnacentral:lncRNA from 1 species